GAUGAACGCUGGCGGCGUGCCUAAUACAUGCAAGUCGAGCGAACAGACGAGGAGCUUGCUCCUCUGACGUUAGCGGCGGACGGGUGAGUAACACGUGGAUGACCUACCUAUAAGACUGGGAUAACUUCGGGAAACCGGAGCUAAUACCGGAUAACAUGUUGAACCGCAUGGUUCAACAGUGAAAGACGGUUUUGCUGUCACUUAUAGAUGGAUCCGCGUCGCAUUAGCUAGUUGGUAAGGUAACGGCUUACCAAGGCAACGAUGCGUAGCCGACCUGAGAGGGUGAUCGGCCACACUGGAACUGAGACACGGUCCAGACUCCUACGGGAGGCAGCAGUAGGGAAUCUUCCGCAAUGGGCGAAAGCCUGACGGAGCAACGCCGCGUGAGUGAAGAAGGUCUUCGGAUCGUAAAACUCUGUUAUUAGGGAAGAACAAAUGUGUAAGUAACUAUGCACGUCUUGACGGUACCUAAUCAGAAAGCCACGGCUAACUACGUG
rnacentral:rRNA from 1 species